rnacentral:lncRNA from 1 species
ACAUCUCCCACGAAGUCGACAAAAUGUAUUAAUGAAUUUUCUGUUCGCCGUCUGUUUUAGUCGAUGCUGGAACGUGGAGAGAGGAAUCGGAAUUUCGAGUGGAGCGUUUCAAUGCCGCCUCCUGAAAGUAUCCUCCUGAAAACGACGAGGGAACAAGCUCGAAGAGAAUUUCUCGAGAACCUGCGUGGAAUUAUUAUCCACGGUGGAGAGAUUGAAUCGUCAGGAAAGAAACUUGAGCACCAGGAAUUCGAGCACCGUCCACCCGAGCAUCGAAGCGAUAAUUACAAGGAAAUCGAGUGCGAACGAGCUGUGUUUAUCGGCUGCGAUCGGCCAAGCCACUGGCGGGCCAACCGAUAGAGAGAGCAAGAGAGAGAUAGAGAGAAGGAGAGAAUCUGUGUCAGAGGUUGCUUAUGCCUCGGAUUUAUGGGUUUGAUUACUCGCCGUGGCGGCAUACGUGCCGCGAUUUUGUAUGGGUAAAUCGUGAUCCUCCACGCCUCCUUGCCACGGCCUUCCCUCCACCCCGCCCUGGCGAAACCCCGAUCGCGUAUAAAGUUAUCGCAUUCCCGGCCCCGUAAGUGUCCAUUGUCUACUUUCAGGCCCGCAUUAUGCCCGUUCCUUCUCUUCCCACCAACUUCCCAUCCUGCCCGCUGUAAUUUCACUUUUACAGCCGCGUAUCCAAUUGACCGGCGAUAAUCCCCGUGUGUGCCACCUCUCCUCUCCUUGAUCCUCUCUCUCCUCCGACGAAUCUUUACUCUAAAUCUGCUCGUUACGUCCAAUGGAAACUCUUAUGCAAUAAUUCUUCUCAAACUCUGAUGCGAGUAUGCUUGUUGGAAAGGAGGAGUCAUCAGAGGUUCGUUGAAAAAGUGCUUACGGGCUGGAGCAAAGACGCAGCCAUCAGAGCGAUGAUGGUGGAGAUGGAGGGGCACGAAACGGUCGAAAAACGGCGCAUCAAUCUUGCACCGGCUCUCCCGAAGCGUGGCCAAAGUCCCUCGAGGAGGAGGAGGAGGACGGUGUCGGGGAGAGACGUCGCUCGGCGAGAAGAUGAGAAACGUCGCGGGAGGUCCGGGAUUGAUGGACAUCCUCACCUACACGCCUGAUUAUUUGCCACCACACGCAGCUCUUGGCCGUAACCCGGCUCCGUAACCGCUCUUACGCGUGUUGCCACGGAUUCACACCGAUAAUCACGUCGAUCGUUAGCGCCUCGUUCACGCCUCAUUUCGACAAACGUCGUUGAUUUCCAUGCUCUUACAAUCUCUCGUUCUCGAGGCUUCGAAGAAGUUGGAAUUUCUUGGUUUUUGAGAGUAGCAUUGAUCUCGAAUUCAAUUUUUAUAUAAUUUAUACGGAUAAUGCUUUGGACUUUGGUGUUUAAGUUAAGUUAGUUUUGGAAUUUUUGAUUUUUGGAGUUAGCAUUGGCUAGUUGGAAUUCAAUUUUUAUUUAGGUUGACGAAUUUUGAGUUUAUUCUUCAAAUACAUUUUUGAGGUUAAUAUCAAUUUGAGAUUAAAGGAUUCUUCUUUGCUCCAGAUCUUUCUAUUUUAUAUAGUUUCCAAGAAGUUAAAGGAUUCUUCUUUAUGAUUAAUCUCUCGACUUUUAAACUUUGAUCUUACUUUACAUCAUUCUUUUUCCAAUUUUGAGGUUAAUAUCAAUUUGAGAUUAAAAAAUUCUUCUUUGCUCCAGAUCUUCCUAUCUUACAGUUUCCAAGAAGUUAAAGGAUUCUUUUUUAUGAUUAAUCUCUCGACUUUUAAACUUUGAUCUUACUUUACAUCAUUCCUUUUCCAAUUUUGAGGAUAAUAUCAAUUUGAGAUUAAAAGAUUCUUCUUUGCUCCAGAUCUUCCUAUCUUAUAUAGUUUCCAAGAAGUUAAAGGAUUCUUCUUUAUUAUUAAUCUCUCGACUUUUAGUCUUUGAUCUUGCUUUACAUCAUUCCUUUUCCAAUUUUGAGGUUAAUAUCAAUUUGAGAUUAAAGGAUUCUUCUUUGCUCCAGAUCUUCCUAUCUUAUAUAGUUUAUAUAGUUUCCAAGAAGUUAAAGGAUUCUUCUUUAUGAUUAAUCUCUCAACUUUUAGUCUUUGAUCUUGCUUUACAUCAUUCCUUUUCCAAUUUUUUAAAACUUUUCCUACUAAUUCCUUCUUUUCUCAAACGAACAAAUUUCAAUUAUUCCCCCAUUCGUUCGAAUAAACUUGCUUUGAUAAUUCAUGGACGAAUCAUCAUUCUCCAUUUUCUCGCUUACGUGAUUUUUAAUCGAGUAAGUAAACGGGAGGUAAGCAGGUGUAACCGCAUUAUAAAAGCCGCUUCUCAACACCUCAUCUCUCAACGCGUUUCUCCGUUGAUGAUGCUCGAAACUGGUCGGCUCAUUAGUAUGUGAGGGGCUGGUUGCCACCUACCGGGCGGGGCAGCGGGUCAUUGAAACAAUGGUGUUAUGACUAGACAUCAUCAGAGAGUCCCGGUCUGAUCGAUUUCCUUGGAUGAUCGAUCGAUUCAACGUUUCUCCAUUUGCUGACCUCUCUCUCUCUCUUCUCUCUCCUCUUAAACUCGAAAGACUUCCUCUUCCUCGCGCUAUUUCCACCUCUCCUCCUAUGUACGUAAUAUAUAUAUAUAUAUAUUAGAAAAUGAAUGCUGUGUAAUUACUCGGAGCUUUCUGUACACGUAAUCUCGAUGUAAAUUAGUUGGGUAAUUUAUUCGAGGGAAAUCAAUUCGAAGGGGCGCACACAGGAUCGGUAUAAAUCAGACACGGAACGUUCCUUCUUUUUCUUUAUCUUCGUGUCUCUCUCUCUCUCUGUCUAACAGGAAGCAUCGCUUAUUCGAUCAAAUCGAUCGAUGGCUAAUAGACCUCUGCCGCGGGAGGAUCAUUAAUUAUGGCGUAAUACUACGUCGAGGAUGCGUCGAUCAACUCGAAGAGAAGGGAACUGUUCCUCUCCUCUUUUAAGAGAGAGAGAGAGAGAAAGAGAGUUAAGCCAGGUAACCAAAGUUUUGGGCUGGAAACGUUGCCAGGCCUGCGCAGCCCUCAUCCUCCUACCCCGAAAAAGGGUACAGAGUGCCAGUCAUAUAUUAGAGAACUGUUGGGGACACCUAACAAGCUGGCAGGACACGUUUCCCAGAAUCGGGGCUAACCGCCACCCUCUAUGGCUCUCCCCCUCCCCACAGGUUUUCUCCUUUUGUUUUCUCGAUAUUCCACCACGUAUUUCACGUCCAACUAGAAGCCAGCCGCGGAUAGAUAUUGUUUCGCACGCUCGUUCACGCUCCUCUCUCUCUCUUUCUCUCUCUUUGAACCGUUCAUCCUUGGGACUUUUUAAUCAACUCGAAGAACCCGUUAUUCCACGCGCAACGUUUCAUUAACCUUUUCCAAUAAUUAUUUUUCAAUCAAUUGGAAUAGAAGAAUUUUUGGAAUAUAGUUUAUUGUACAAUAGGGUAGAAUAGAAUGGGAUAUAGGGAGUGUAUAUAAGCAACGCGUUUAUAGAUAAUUCAAAGGAACGAUCAUUUAAUCUCCUUUCUUUUUCUCCUUCGUUUCCUUCUCUUUUUUUUAUUGCUACUUUGUUCGAAGCGGAUGGCUUUUAAAGGUUUAAUUACCCAGGUUGAAGAGGUUUUCGCAACGGGGUAUUAAGGCGAGCGCGCAACUAUCGUCUCCCCUCCCUCCAGGCUUAUCGGUGAUUAUUAAUCCGGUAGUUCCCUUUUAUAUACAUGGUGAGCUGUGCAACCUGUUCGCCCAGGAAUUAUUAUUAACAAGAGCGCGCAACCCCCGGGGGCAUUAAACGAUAAAUAGAAACGCUAGCACUCGCGGCAUUAAACUGUCCAGAGAUUGAGGAAAAAAGCUGUAUAUAUAGGGAAGGGAGUAGAUUAUUUCUCUUGUUGAAAAAUAUAAUUGAAAAAGUGGAGCGAUUAAAGUAGAGUGAUAAGGUAUAGGAUUAUGUUAAUUAUGUUAGAACAUGUUAGAACAUUUUUUGGAGGGUAGAUUUUCUUUGAAUAAAAAUAAUGAUUUAAGGAGAGGCACAGAUGACUUUAUCUCUAUUCGCGUGUAAUGUAAAUUUAUAACAUUAAUUGCCACGUCGAUUCCCUUUAUUUAAUCGCUUGUAAUACUUGAUAGAUAAUCUUCAAUCGAUAUUUUAUACGUGUAUCUUCCUCACCAUUCAUACAAGGAAAAUUUCAAUCAAGUUAGUUCAACUUGAUAUUUCUCUUUUUAAUAAUAAUAAAUUCCUCUUUCCUGUUUU